AUAUAUGCCCAUAUCGCAAUAAAAACACUGGUUUUUGUACAGUCGCCGAAGUUAAGCAAUAUUGAGCCUAGUUAAUACUUAGAUGGGUGACUGCUUAGGAAACCUAGGUGCUGUAAAUA
rnacentral:rRNA from 1 species